UUAGAGGGAGCAUGAGAAACGGCUACCACAUCUAAGGAAGGCAGCAGGCGCGUAAAUUACCCAAUCCUGUCUCAGGGAGGUAGUGACAAGAAAUAGCAAACCGGGAACCUCAUGGUUUCACGGUAUUGCAAUGAGAACAAUUUAAAACCCUUAGCGAGAAUCAAGUGGAGGACAAGUCUGGUGCCAGCACCCGCGGUAAUUCCAGCUCCACUAGCGUAUAUUAAAGUUGUUGCAGUUAAAAAGCUCGUAGUUGAACCUCUGUCUGGGGCUAGUUUUGGCUUUGGUCAGGCUAGUUCUAGGCAUCCGCCUACAAGACUUAGAGGGCAUUCAGUUGUUCACUAGGAGGAGUAGGCAUUUUACUUUGAAAAAAUUAGAGUGUUUAAGGCAGGCAAUCGCCCGCAUAUAUUAGCAUGGAAUAAUAGAAUAGGACACUUUUCCAUUUCGUUGGUUAUUGGAAUCGUGUAAUGAUUAAUAGGGACAGUUGUGGGCAUUUGUAUUUAAUUGUCAGAGGUGAAAUUCUUGGAUUUAUUAAAGACAAACUAACGCGAAAGCAUUUGCCAAGGAUGUUUUCAUUAAUCAAGAACGAAAGUUAGGGGAUCAAAGACGAUCAGAUACCGUCCUAGUCUUAACUAUAAACUAUUCCGACUCAAUGUUUGACUGGCUUAUAUAACCAGUUGAGCGUUGUAUGAGAAAUCAAAGUCUUUAGGUUCUGGGGGGAGUAUGGUUGCAAAGCUGAAACUUAAAGGAAUUGACGGAAGAGCACAACCAGGAGUGGAUUCUGCGGCUUAAUUUGACUCAACACGGGGAAACUUACCAGGUUAAAACAAUAGUGGGAUUGACAGUUUGAGAGCGCUUUCUUGAUUGGUUGGGUGGUGGUGCAUGGCCGUUCUUAGUUGGUGGAGUGAUUUGUCUGCUUAAUUGCGUUAACGAACGAGACCUUAACCUGCUUACUAGACUGGCGAUCAUCAAUCGUUAGCUCUUCUUAGAGGGACUUUGGUUGUUUUAACUCCAAGGAAGUUAGAGGCAAUAACAGGUCUGUGAUGCCCUUAGAUAUCCUGGGCCGCACGCGUCAUACAAUGACUAGUUCAGAAAGUUUUCUCCUGACCCGAAAGGGGAUGGGUAAUCUUGAUAAUACUAGUCGUGUUAGGGAUCGAUCUUUGCAAUUAUAGAUCUUGAACGAGGAACUCCUAGUAAGUGCGGUUCAUCAGACCGUACUGAUUACGUCCCUGCUCUUUGUACACACCGCCCGUCGCUUCUACCGAGUGGGUGGUCCGGUGAGAUAAUUGAACUUCGCAGGUAACUGAGAGGAAAGAUUAUCAAACCUAUCCACCUCGAGGAAGAAGAAGUCGUAACAAGGUU
rnacentral:rRNA from 1 species